AUUUUUUGAUACGCAAUUGAAUCUGAUUGUUCUUAUUGCCUAUAUACGAAAAACCUACAAGUCAGAUUUAUAUUAUUAGGAUUUCUGGAUUUUUUUAAAAGGAAGAAUUUUGCAAUUUCACGAUUAUGUUAGUUGAUGCUCAGCUGAAGAAAUGAUCUGCUGAUCUGUCUGUUACACGGUCAGGCCUUUACGUGAAGAUUUAGGAUCUGAUAAAAAAUAGCAGAAUAAGAGGGAAAGAA
rnacentral:lncRNA from 1 species